UCUAAAGUGCCACUUAUUAGGCGUAGAUAAUAUAUAUAUUCCCGUCCUAGUAAAGAGAGGAGCUUAGGAGCGGGCCGUCGCCAUCGGAGUCUCGGACGACUUCAAGCGGAUUCCCCGCGGCUACGGCAAUAAGUGGACGAGGAACACCGGGGGGUUUUAGCCGGUACUAUUGAAGAUAGAUGAGGACGAAGUCAAUUCUAUGCGCUUAUCGUGAGGAUUUCACCAUGGAUUCCAGGGAUUUCCACAAUGAGAUCCAGGGAAAAUCGCGUGAACUUUAAUCAAACAAUUAUCUUCAUAAUGGUUAGUUAUAUCGUAACGGCGGUCUCGCUCGCGACCUCAACACACGUGCGUACGGGACGGUGGUUACUGCCGACUACUCGCGUCUACCCCUGCGCUCGGAGCGUCGAGGUGCGGGCGGAGAAGUAUGCGGGGAGCGAUAG